GAUGAAGAACGAGCGAAAUGCGAUAAGUAAUGCGAAUUGCAGAAUUCCAGUGAGUCAUCGAAUCUUUGAACGCACAUUGCGCCCUUUGGUAUUCCGAAGGGCAUGCCUGUUCGAGCGUCAUUAUCACCCCUCAAGCCCUCGGCUUGGUGUUGGACGGUUUGGUGGAGGCCCCCUCGGGGGUUCCUGCCCCUCCCAAAGACAAUGACGGCGGCCUCGUUGGACCCCCGGUACACUGAGUUCUUCACGGGACACGUAUCGGACACAUGGGUUUACGGGACACGGUCUGCCUCCCCUCAGGGAGAAUCUUUCUAAGGUUGACCUCGGAUCAGGUAGGGAUACCCGCUGAACUUAAGCAUAUCAAUAAGCGGAGGA
rnacentral:misc_RNA from 1 species